GGCGAGGAGCUCCCCGUGCCGCUGCCGCUGUGCUGGCUGUGCCGCAACUUCAUCGGCCGCCUCGAAGCCUCCAUCCCCAAGGAGGCGGCGGCGGCGGCGGUGUCGCGGUUGUGCCGGGUGCUGCCGGUGGCGGUGGCGGGCACGUGCCAGUGCCUGGCUGAGCGUUACACGGUGCUGGUGCUGGAAGCGGUGCUGGAGCGCCUGGGCCCCCGCCUGCUCUGCCGCCUGCUCCUCGCCUGCCACCCCGAGGACGACGGCUGCGCCCCGCUGCCACCGCGGCGGCCCCCCGGGGACGAGGAGGACGCGGCGCCGCGUGCGGGGCACGAGGACCCGGAGCUGUCCCCAAAGCCGGGCCCCUGCGCCCUGGGCCCGGCCUAUUGGUGCUCCAGCCCCGAGGCCGCCCGGCGCUGCAAUGUGAGUAGGGGCAGGGUGACAAGGGACACGGGGGGGGGGGGACACGGGGGGACAGGCGGCCCCCAACGUGCCCCCCGUGCUCCCCGCCAGGCCCUGCGGCACUGCCAGGCCCACGCCGGGCUGUAGGGGGGGACAGGAGGAGCCACGGGCGCGCCCGGCCCCGCAGCGGCCCCAAAUAAAGCUUGGAUGCCAGCAGCGCCGCGCUCGCCUCCUGUUUGGGGCCUCCUGGGUUUGGUUUUUUUUGUCUUUGAAAAGGGGCCAGGCGGGUUCUCACACCUCCC